rnacentral:rRNA from 1 species
UCGGGAAUUUUGGGCAAUGGGCGAAAGCCUGACCCAGCAACGCCGCGUGAAGGAUGAAGUAUUUCGGUAUGUAAACUUCGUAAGAAUAGGAAGAAUAAAUGACGGUACUAUUUGUAAGGUCCGGCUAACUACGUGCCAGCAGCCGCGGUAAUACGUAGGGACCAAGCGUUGUUCGGAUUUACUGGGCGUAAAGGGCGCGUAGGCGGUUUGUCAAGUCAGUUGUGAAAUCUCCGAGCUUAACUCGGAACGGUCAACUGAUACUGUCAAACUAGAGUACAGAAGGGGCAAUCGGAAUUCUUGGUGUAGCGGUGAAAUGCGUAGAUAUCAAGAGGAACACCUGAGGCGAAGGCGGGUUGCUGGGCUGAUACUGACGCUGAAGCGCGAAAGCUAGGGUAGCAAACGGGAUUAGAUACCCUUGUAGUCCCUGAGCGGGCUGGCAAGGCG